GGCUCUAUGGUCUAGAGGUAUGAUUCCUGCUUUGGGCCCGCUCACUGGAUGUUCAAUUGCAGGAGGCCCCGGGUUCGAAUCCCGGUGGAGCCC